rnacentral:rRNA from 1 species
UCGAUUUGAAGGUUGUGAUCUUGAAUUGUGGCUUUCGGAGCUAACGCGUUAAAUCGACCGCCUGGGGAGUACGGCCGCAAGGUUAAAACUCAAAUGAAUUGACGGGGGCCCGCACAAGCGGUGGAGCAUGUGGUUUAAUUCGAUGCAACGCGAAGAACCUUACCUACCCUUGACAUCCAAAGAACUGCGUAGAGAUAUGCAGGUGCCUUCGGGAGCUUUGAGACAGGUGCUGCAUGGCUGUCGUCAGCUCGUGUUGUGAAAUGUUGGGUUAAGUCCCGCAACGAGCGCAACCCUUGUCCUUUGUUGCCAGCGAAUUAUGUCGGGAACUCAAAGGAGACUGCCGGUGAUAAGCUGGAGGAAGGUGGGGAUGACGUCAAGUCAUCAUGGCCCUUACGGGUAGGGCUACAAACGUGCUACAAUGGGGAAUACAAAGAGAAGCGAUCUUGCGAGAGCUAGCAAACCUCAUAAAAUUCUUCGUAGUCCGGAUUGGAGUCUGCAACUCGACUCCAUGAAGUCGGAAUCGCUAGUAAUCGUGAAUCAGAAUGUCACGGUGAAUACGUUCCCGGGCC